rnacentral:rRNA from 1 species
GACAGAGGAGGCAAGCGUUGUUCGGAAUCAUUGGGCUUAAAGCGGGUGUAGGCGGCUGCGCAAGUGUUUUGUGAAAUCCCACGGCUCAACCGUGGAAUGGCAGGGCAAACUGUGCAGCUUGAGGCCGGUAGAGGUGCCUGGAACUCUCGGUGGAGCGGUGAAAUGCGUAGAUAUCGAGAGGAACGCCGGAGGCGAAAGCGGGGCACUGGGCCGGUUCUGACGCUGAGACCCGAAAGCGUGGGGAGCAAACAGGAUUAGAUACCCCCGUA